rnacentral:misc_RNA from 1 species
CUUCGGAACCUGUGAAAAACACUUUCUAUAUUCAUAUUCAAUCAUCUCAAUUCCAUUUAUCAAAAUCUCAACAUUUUCAACCAUUCAUUUCUCAAUCAUUCAUCUCAUGGUACUCAUAUACAAUUCACAUUUUGUAUCACAUCAAGUUACAGCAAUUUCUUAACGAUUCCUCUAUUUAUCAUUUCACAUCAUCAUUAGACUCAAAUCAUAAAUAAAUUCUCACAUGUGAUUUAUAAUCACAAAUUACAAGUACUUACAUUAAUACAAAAUUAUAUUACAUUUGUUUCAAAUACACAUGAUAAAAUAAGAGUUUAAUUACCAAAUUUACAAAAAUCUCAAAAUACAAAAUGGGACCUAGUGUCCUACCAAUGCACUGUAGUCUGUGAGGUGACACGGAUACUAUACAGAACUGUGAACGGCCUUACCCAAUCUGUGGUCUACCGGGCCCUCUGUCCAAAUCUUCAGU